GCCUAACACAUGCUAGCUCGAGCGCACUCUUCGCGAAUGAGCGGCGGACGGGCUUAGAUAACGCGUGGUGAACGCUGCCCUUCUCUAACGAAAUACCCACUGGAAACGGUGCAGUAAUACCUUAUACGCCCUUCGGGGGAAAGAUUUAUCCCAUAAGGAUCGGCCCGCGUUACAUUACAUAUUGGUGGGGUAACUUGCCUACCAAGUCUACGAUCUAUACCUGGUUUUACGAGGAUGAUCCCCACCACUGGGGACUGAUGACACAGCCCACACUCCUACCGGAUGCAUCACUGUGAGAAUCUUGGACAUUGCGUCGCAAUGCCUGAUCCAACCUUGCCGCGUGAAUGAUGAAGGCCUUAGGUUCUUACAGCUCUUUCGCCAGAGAUGAUAAUGACAGUAUCUGGACAACAAUCCCGGCUAGCUCCUUGCCCACCGCCGCGAUAAUACAGACGNUGUUAGCGUUCUUCGAAUUACUGGUUGGUAAGGGUCUGCGCGCUGAUCC
rnacentral:rRNA from 1 species